UAAAACCCCAGACAGCUCAUCUCUAAGAUGGGUGCAGAGAGGGAUGAGAUGUACAAGGGAUUCUCAGGGAAAAAUCGAAGGGUUGGCCCAGCAUACAGUGUCUGUCUUGCCAGAUCAUCACCUGCACGUGUGAAGAAGAGGAGGGUCCUCAGCGUUAUGAGGAUGUAUAAGAUGACUCACUCACCAAUGAAUAUACAUACACGGAAAUGACAGAGCUCUAACCUCGCAUCUCUGUCUGAACAACGAAUACACUGGAGCGUGAUUCAGGAAGGAGUGUUACCACGUUUCUGUAAACGCCAGUUAAAACUGUCACAAUGUUUCCUGAUGAGGUUUCUAUUUAUCUUACCAUCUAGAAGUUAUGCGAAAAAUGGAUUGUGGAUUAAAGACAAGGCAGUUCUGAGCCCAACUUUAAUACAACUUUGUGGCACAAAUCGAAGUGGCACAGUAGCCUACAAGGCCUAAACCCUCUUCAAAGAUGAGGGUGAAUACUUGCCUAGCCCUAAGUUUGGUCCCCAGCACUAUGAAUAAAUUAAAAACUAAACAACAACAACAACAGGUUUCAAAAGAUAAUGGAAGAAGGAACUCAGAAACCCUAACGACAGUUUUCAUGAAGCGGAGCGGCAGAAGGUUUCUUCGCCAGGCCCGCUCCCCAAAGGAAGAACGCUCACAGCCAGGCCUUGGAGAUGAGAGAUGAGAUGCGUAAUGAAGAGCUGUUUGUUUUCUAGAGAUCUACAAGUCAAUUUGGGAUACUUCAUCAGCCAAGUUUCUAUCUCUGUACUAGGCAACCAUUACAUGUUUACAAUUUGAAUAAAAAGUCCAUCCUUGCUUUCCA